GAUGAACGCUAGCUACAGGCUUAACACAUGCAAGUCGAGGGGAAACGAUAUUGGAAGCUUGCUUCCGAUAGGCGUCGACCGGCGCACGGGUGAGUAACGCGUAUCCAACCUGCCCACCACUUGGGGAUAACCUUGCGAAAGUAAGACUAAUACCCAAUGAUAUCUCUAGAAGACAUCUGAAGGAGAUUAAAGAUUUAUCGGUGAUGGAUGGGGAUGCGUCUGAUUAGCUUGUUGGCGGGGUAACGGCCUACCAAGGCGACGAUCAGUAGGGGUUCUGAGAGGAAGGUCCCCCACAUUGGAACUGAGACACGGUCCAAACUCCUACGGGAGGCAGCAGUGAGGAAUAUUGGUCAAUGGGCGAGAGCCUGAACCAGCCAAGUAGCGUGCAGGAUGACGGCCCUAUGGGUUGUAAACUGCUUUUAUAGGGGAAUAAAGUGAGUCUCGUGAGACUUUUUGCAUGUACCUUAUGAAUGAGGACCGGCUAAUUCCGUGCCAGCCGCCGCCGUAA
rnacentral:rRNA from 1 species